UAUCUAUACAAAACUGCCGAC
rnacentral:piRNA from 1 species